GCCACCCAAAGAAUCCUACAAACAAAAACGUAGUCUACAUGGAUGACAGACUCGUGAAUGACUCAUUUCAUAUCAUGUUGAAAGAAAGGAGCUGGACACAGAAGUAUGCAAAAGAUGCAAUGUGACCACAUGCUGAAACCUUUGGAUGCCCUGACUUCCCCCACUGUGAUGGAGCACACCGACGAACUGCACUCCCAGGCUGCCCUCGAAGAGAAGGAACCGAAAGAGCUGUAACACUUGUCUGCCUUUGGAGGCUGGGGCAGAGGCAGACCCUCCAGUCUGAUCCCCACCCUCUCAGGCCCAGCCGCCCCACGCGACCGAACAGUGCUCCAGGACAGCUGCUUCACUCCAGUUCUCGCCGGCCUGGGAAGUGCCAUGCUCUCACCCACUACUGCCCGAGACCUGCACCGCUGCAGCCGUGGUUUCUCCGAUCCCGCGCCCCGUGCCCCACCUGUGA